AAAUUGAAGAGUUUGAUCAUGGCUCAGAUUGAACGCUGGCGGCAGGCCUAACACAUGCAAGUCGAACGGUAACAGGAAGCAGCUUGCUGCUUCGCUGACGAGUGGCGGACGGGUGAGUAAUGUCUGGGAAACUGCCUGAUGGAGGGGGAUAACUACUGGAAACGGUAGCUAAUACCGCAUAACGUCGCAAGACCAAAGAGGGGGACCUUAGGGCCUCUUGCCAUCGGAUGUGCCCAGAUGGGAUUAGCUAGUAGGUGGGGUAACGGCUCACC
rnacentral:rRNA from 1 species